AUGUGGACCUGUCUUCGUCAGCGCUAUGAGCCCUCUGGUGAUGCCUUAUACCUUUCUGUGGUUCGUCUGGAGCAUGCUCUUCAGCAGGGUGACUCUACUGUUGAUGACUUUUAUGCACAUAGUUCUGCUAUCUGGCGCCAGCUUGAUUCUCUCCGCAGUGCUGGUUGUCGUACUUGCCCCUGCUGCCAGGCUGUCCAGGCCGAUUUGGAGUUUCAUCGCGUCUACGAGUUCCUGUCUCGGCUCCGUAAGGAGUUUGAGCCCCGACAUGCUCAGUUGUUUGCUCGUGGCCGUAUUUCUCUCAUGGAGGCGCUUUCAGAGAUUCGUGCUGAGGAGACUCGCCUACGUGGUGCUGGUUUGCUGGAGGUUCCCUCUGUGCUCGCUACUCGGGCUUCUUCCACUCCACCUGCUGCACCGCCCCAUUCUCGCUCGAGUGCUCCGCCGCUCUUGCCCACUCCUUCUGGAGGCUCAGGUCGCCCCCGUCCACACUGUGACUACUGCAACAAUGAUGGUCAUAUUGAGUCCCAGUGCUACACCAAGCGGAAACACCUGCGCAAGGCGCGAUCAUCCUCCUCGGGGACUUCGUCAUCUCCCUCGCCAGCUUCAGCCAUUGCUUUGACUGAGCAGGAUAUUCUGAGACUUAAGCGUCUGCUCGCGGCUUCAGGUUCUUCCUCGACGGGUACUGCUGGUUCUGUGACUGAUGCUUCCCGCACUGAGCACCCGUCCUCUACACAGUCAGGUACAUCCCCAUGGGUUCUGGACUCUGGAGCUUCUUUUCAUAUGUCUUCUCAUUCUUCCGCUUUGUCCUCUCUUCGAUCGCUGGAUUCUCCUGUUCAUGUCUCCACUGCUGAUGGUACUCCACUUUCUGUUGCUAGUAGAGGCCAUCUUUCCACUCCUUCUUAUUCUGUUCCUGAUGUUGCUCAUGUUCCUCGACUUACCAUGAAUCUGUUUUCUGCUGGUCAACUUACUGAUUCUGGUUGUCGUGUCAUCCUUGAUGUUGACUCUUGUUCUGUCCAGGAUCGUCGCACGCACACUCUGGUUGGGGCUGGCCCUCGCCGCCGUGAUUCUCAGGGUCUUUGGGAGUUGGACUGGCUUCAUGUUCCUUCCGCUGCCACCACCAUCGCCAGUCCCUCCGCUGCUGUCGCCUCUGUUACUGGUUCCUUCAAGCAGUGGCAUCAUCGACUUGGUCAUCUGUGUGGUUCUCGGUUAUCGUCUUUAGUUCGUCGAGGUCUUCUGGGGUCUGUCUCAGGAGAUGUCUCUUUAAAGUGUCAGGGUUGUCGUCUUGGCAAGCAGAUUCAAUUACCAUAUUCACAUAGUGAGUCAGUGUCUAAGCGUCCUUUCGAUUUAGUCCAUUCUGAUGUAUGGGGUCCGGCUCCUUUCGCUUCGAAAGGUGGUCAUAAAUACUAUAUUAUUUUCAUCGAUGAUUUUUCUCGUUACACAUGGCUUUAUUUCAUGACUUCACGUAGUGAGGUGUAG
rnacentral:rRNA from 1 species